UCCUUUGCCCAGCACACCUGUCACUCACCUCAACCCUUUCUCUCUUUUCCCCAUCUUUCUGUGGCUAGCUCCUCCUCAUUCUUUAGGUCUCAGUGUAGAUAGCACCACUAUCAGGAAGGAGUCCAGACACUGCCAGGCCUAAGAAAUGUAAAUUAAAUGCUCUCAAGGGAUGAGAGACACUGGAAGCUGGGACGCUCUUGGAACUCUGUUGCCAUCAUCAAGGCUUCCAGAUACAGCCCUCUAGGUCAUCCAGAGGUGCCAGCCAGCCCUCACCAGUGGUCAGCUUUUCCUCAGUGGAGUGGUAGGUGAGCCAGUGGAGCUUGCUCUGAAGAUACUAGAGGGAGCCAAAGCUGUCUGGCCCUUCAGUGUGACUCAGUUUCCAGACUCUUUCUCUUUAGACAUAAAUGAAGAACAAGUCAACCUUGAUGCCUUUGAGGGUUGGUUCAGCGGAUGAUGUGUUGUGGGGUUUUCCCACAGGUCAGCAGUCCAACUACCAGGGCCAGAGCCCCAUCAAAGAAUCUUCAGUGCCAGCCAGAAAGAAUGAUGAACUCCUCGUGUAAAGGGAGUUUGGGGCAACCAGUCAAACCAUGGCCUCAUGGGAAGCAGCUGACUAGGCAAUGAGAGAGGAAUACAAAAGACAAGGCACUGCGAAGCCAAGUCUGGUUGGGGAGAAGAAACCAAUAUGCCUGAAACAGGGAACCAGAAAGGACUCAGACAAAACUGCUGACAAGUAUGGGGUUUCUUGGGGUAGGUGGUGAAAAUAUUCCAAAAUAAGAUUAUAGCGAUGUUUUAAUAAUCCCCUGGAUAUAAUAAAAAAACAUCGAAUUGUACACUU
rnacentral:lncRNA from 1 species